CAGGAUAAAGGAAACCAUAACCAUUUGAGAUACCCUUUCCUUUGUAACAAUGCUGAAAGUCUCUUCCAUCUGCCUCAAACGGAAAGGGCUCAAGGGAAGGUGUGUCAAUAUCCACAACAAACAUUGGUGUUCCAUUGGGAUGCUGCACAAAGUCAUUGCCUUCGAGUAUUUUCGUCCCAACAAGACGUUUCCCAUUGUUCUUUCUAGAUUCUUCGUAAGAGAGCAUCAGUAGAUAAAAAGCAUGUCCGGUUUUAUCUUCAUUACAUCUCCCAGGUGGCCACCCAAACGUUCCUCCCCACAAACCAGCAUACUCUUGGUCCUCUCCAAGACUCUUGAUUGGUAGUUUGUGCAGGCAAAAGCGGUUGAGAUCCAUUCUUGGCCACCCUUUGUAAGAAGACAUCUCAGUGUAGGAAGCUUUGAGACUAAGACCAAAUAUGUCACCAGCGCUAAGAAAUCUCCGGCGAUUCACACAUGGGGAAGCACCCAUCUCGUUUAUGUCUACCUGCGUAGGAGCAUGGUUCUUACCAAACUUGUGCAUUUUAAGGAGCAUGGUUCUACGUUCCAACAACAUCCCUUCAUCUUCUCUCCUUGUGGGAAACAACUUCCCACUCAAUGGUUCAGAUACAUGUACACCUACAUGGCUUGUCACUAGUUCAAUUAAGUUUCUUCUAUCGCUAUCAUCAAGCUUCUGAAAUGGAACCCCACUCUUCUUCUCUUGACUCGGCUCAACCUCGAGUGAGAGCACAUUGCAAGUCUUGUCGAUGAUGCCUGUAACAGAACCAGGGUACACGCAACUUCCUUCUCUGCCUCUUCCAUGGAGGAAGAACUUGGUGGAGCCAUCGAAAUCAGAGACAAUCUCAAACACAGGCGACCACAUAAGCCUCCCUUCUUGAAUCCCCAAAGAACCAACUUCUUGCGGAAUGAUCCGACAACCAAUAACAGACAAGAAACCAGACAUCACGUAAACAACAUUCCCAAGUUCAGGGUUCUGGUGAACCCAAACUCCAACAAGAGGCUUGAUCACCUCUACGAGAAACCGACAGAGAGCCUUGUAAGAAGAGAUCCCUGUUCGCCAUUGGACUAUUUCGGAUAAAGGAAGAACCUUUACGACUUCGCACUGCACACGCCAUAUCUUCUCUGAAUGAUCCACAAGGUCGCAGAGGCUUUUGCAGCAUAAGCUUAAGUUGCAAAUGUCGCUUGGAGAUAGAAAACCAGAGGUAACAGCAAACACAUCUCCUGGAAGCGAAAGAAGCAGACAAGUACCACCAACUGACUCUUCCAACCGUAACUCUCUGAUCGUCAUCAUAUUAUGACACUCAGGGAUCAAAUCUGUUCGUAAAGUCGAAAUGGGCUUUGCCGGAUUCUCAGAGUAUUAAGAUAGAAACGUAGACUGGGUUUUUUUUAACGCACGAAAAAAUCAAACUUUCAGAUCACACAUCAAAAGUCAAGAAGACAUCUUCUUCUUUUUUUUUUUUGGUCGAAUCAAGAAGACAUCUUCUUAAAAAGUCUACUAAUCUACUGAAAUGGACCGACCAUCCGAUUGGACCGGUCUAUCCGUGACCUUGAAACUAUCCGGUCCGGUUACACCUUAAAAACCGGAAAAUCUUGUCAAAAACAAUGAUCCGGCAACAACCUAUGACCCGGACCGUUGGUUUUCUUCAAAAUUAUUACUUGAGUUUUUAAUGAGAAAAUUUCAUAUAUCACUUAAAAGAUAUUUUUCACAAAAUAUGAGAAGAAAAUAUUCAUUAAACAAAAAAAACACUAAAGUAUCCUAAAUUAUAAUCAAAACUUUACCUUCUGAAUAGCAAAACCUUAAAUCAUUAGACUUUGAAUUGAACCCAACGUAAAACAAAUAUUUGAGUGAAUUAGUUAAAAAAUCCUAAAAACUUUUGAAAUUGGCUUAAAAAGAAAAAUGGAUCAAAAACCUGGAUGACUGCAGCAGCAAAGAUAGCAAAAAGACGCGCUUCGAUCCUAAUCCUGCAACUAUAAUGAGAAAAUAGAUGGGUUGUUGCCACCAUGACCAAGCAAGUCGGUUAAAUAACCAAUGAUCAAACUGCUUUGGUCUUAGUUACAUUCAGGAUUCGUAGGCACCAGAACUAGUAAUUUCCGAAUUCCUCGCAAGUAUCAAAACAUAUUAAUCUCACUUUUCAUGGUCUUGUAGACGUUUCCCAUUUACCUCUUGGCUCAACAUUCGCCAAGAUGUAAUAUUCUCUUCUUAAUACUUUUUUGCCUCUCUUAUGCUGAAUAAAGAUUUCUCCUUUUGUCCUAACAUCUGAAGCUUCGUUUAGCCUCUAGAAAACUUACACAACCUCUUUUUUUUUUCAAGUGUUAAAUUUGAUUCUUGUAUUACCAAGUAUAUGUAAAUGUCGGAGAUCUCAUGACAUCGUUACACACGCUUCUUCUUUCGUAAAUCAAUUUGUGGGUUUUACUGAGCAAUACAUAUGAUAAUAACUAAUGAAUAGAGGUAUAUAUAUAUAUUUUGAACACCUUACUGAAUGUUAAUUAUAUGUAUAUUUAAUAAUAUUUUCCUAAUGUUUUGGGAAGACCUUAAUGAAUUUUAUAUAUGAAAUUUAUAAAAAUAUUUUACAUAUUUCAAAGCAUUUUCAUAAAUUUUUGAGAGAUGUUAUAUAUCAUCCAUUAGAGAAUUUGAAUAUAUUAUAUUUUUUUUUAAAAAAAAAUGGAUACACCUUAUAAUAGAAUUGAGUUUAUCUACAAUCUUAGUAUAUUUUAUAGUAAAAUUAUAAUAAAAAUAAAUAAAAGUAUCUCUUACUUUACUGAAAAAUGGCCAUAGAUAUCCCUAAACCAAGUUUCUCUUCCAAAUAUAGACCCAAGGCCCAAUUAGACAUAAAUGUUUCAUUUAAUGAUAGCAAAUUACCUGGUUACCCUUAAUCUUAAUUUAACCUAAAUUAUUAAAUAAUAAAAGAAAAUUAUUUUAAAAUGUUUUCGUAAGUUUUGCUGUCUAAGCUGUGCCGUCGUCUCCGUAUCGCCGUCUGUCGUCUCCAUAUCGCCUCCGUAGGGCUGCAUUGUCCUCCAUCCGUCGUCGUCUGUGCCCUUGCCUCGUCUUCAAUUUGUCGCGUAUCCACCCUUGCAUCGUCCUCGAUCUGUCGUCGUCUUUGUGUCUCAUUAUCUCGUGUCUCCUAUCUUAUCUAGGUAUCAUCAUUUCAGAUUCAUUAUAAAUUGAUGAUAUGUUGUUGCUAUUGGAUUUUCUAGUUGUUUUGAGACUUAAGAUUGUAUUGACGUCAUCUUCACCUUAUAUACUCACAAAUUUACUUAAAUAUCUUUGCAAUUGGAUUUUUUAGUCAUUUUUUUUUGAAACUUAAGAUUGUAUUCUCGCCAUCUUCACCUUCUACACUCAAAAAUUUACUUUAAUGUCUUUGUGGUUGGUCUUUUUGAGAUUUUCUUGUGAUUUUUUUAACAGAUUUUCGAACUAUGACUGAAGUUUUUUUGUGUUUGUGGACAAUGGAGCUCAAAAGAAUCUUUCCAGUGAGAGUUUAAUGUUGAUAACAGAAACAUUGAUUCAAAUCUCUUUUUUUUUUUGUGUUUGUAUGAUUUUAUAUUCUUUCUUAUAAUAUUCAUGAUAGCCUUCUUAACCAUGUACUAAUCCUUCAUAAACAACUUAAAUUUUGCAGACAUUUCCUUUUCAAGGUGUCUCUGCAAUCCCUCUUAAUCUUAUUCCAGAUUUAAGUCCUGUCCAUAUUGGACUUCCACCAACCAUAAUAGCUAUUAAGGUGAAAAGCUAUUUUAAGAGCAACGAAGAAUUAAUGUCGAGGAUGAAGAAAUAGUCCUUAGAGGGGAAGUUGAGUACAAGGCUGUGUGUUCUAACAAGUCAAGAUUUGUAUUGCGGUGUGUUAGUGACAAUUGCUCGUGGGGGAUGCGUGCCACCAAAGUGUCUUGUUUAGAUUUUUCCUAUUGUUGUAGAUUUGUGCCUAUUUAAUUUUGUAUAUUUUUAAAAUAAAACAUCAUUAUUUAUACAUUUGACCACAUUUCAGUCAAUACAAAAAAAAAACUAGAGGAUAUGAAAAAAACAUAUAACAUAUAAAGUUAAUAAAUUUUGCAUUGAAAUUCUAAAACGACACAAGGAAACUUUUAUUCUACAACAACAAUUAAAAGGAAAGGAGGUAGUAUAAAACAUUGUAUUGUUGAAUGAACUAAAGAGAAAAUUACACAAAUUCAAGUAUUGUUAACGUAUUGUUUAAAAUAUAUAAAGUAAGUGAAAUCUCAGAAACAUUUGAGAUAUCUUUUCCUGCGAGUGUAAAUGUAAAGCGGCAAAUGAUGUCACAAGACAUUCAACAAUGAGUUUAUAUCUCAAAAACAAGACAAGAUAUGGGAGAGAGCUUUGAAUAUCUGCUGCAGCGUGUUCCAUUUUCCAAGAUUGCCACGGAGGAAGAGGAACAGACUCAUACUGACUUGGUAAACACGUUUUUGUAAGACGUUUCCAUACAAGUAAAGUUCUUACCUGGAGGUAGAGGAGGCACCCAUAAACCAAAACCUUUCUUCAUGAUCUGGUCAAGGUCUAGUCUUUUCAAAGUAAAUACAUCUUUAGUUCCAUGCCAAACGAACGCGAGAUGAUCACCAGAGAUCACGUAAAGUGAACCAGGUUUUGAACCAGGAUAAAGGAAACCAUAACCAUUUGAGAUACCCUUUCCUUUGUAACAAUGCUGAAAGUCUCUUCCAUCUGCCUCAAACGGAAAGGGCUCAAGGGAAGGUGUGUCAAUAUCCACAACAAACAUUGGUGUUCCAUUGGGAUGCUGCACAAAGUCAUUGCCUUCGAGUAUUUUCGUCCCAACAAGACGUUUCCCAUUGUUCUUUCUAGAUUCUUCGUAAGAG
rnacentral:lncRNA from 1 species